GAUGAACGCUGGCGGCGUGCCUAAUACAUGCAAGUCGAGCGAAUGGAUUAAGAGCUUGCUCUUAUGAAGUUAGCGGCGGACGGGUGAGUAACACGUGGGUAACCUGCCCAUAAGACUGGGAUAACUCCGGGAAACAGGGGCUAAUACCGGAUAACAUUUUGAACCGCAUGGUUCGAAAUUGAAAGGCGGCUUCGGCUGUCACUUAUGGAUGGACCCGCGUCGCAUUAGCUAGUUGGUGAGGUAACGGCUCACCAAGGCAACGAUGCGUAGCCGACCUGAGAGGGUGAUCGGCCACACUGGGACUGAGCCACGGCCCAGACUCCUACGGGAGGCAGCAGUAGGGAAUCUUCCGCAAUGGACGAAAGUCUGACGGAGCAACGCCGCGUGAGUGAUGAAGGCUUUCGGGUCGUAAAACUCUGUUGUUAGGGAAGAACAAGUGCUAGUUGAAUAAGCUGGCGCCUUGACGGUACCUAACCAGAAAGCCACGGCUAACUACGUGCCAGCCGCCGCAGUAA
rnacentral:rRNA from 1 species